rnacentral:rRNA from 1 species
UUUAAGUAGAANGUGUAACAAGGUCUCCGUUGGUGAACCAGCGGAGGGAUCAUUACCGAGUUUACAACUCCCAAACCCAAUGUGAACGUUACCAAACUGUUGCCUCGGCGGGGUCACGCCCCGGGUGCGUCGCAGCCCCGGAACCAGGCGCCCGCCGGAGGAACCAACCAAACUCUUUCUGUAGUCCCCUCGCGGACGUAUUUCUUACAGCUCUGAGCAAAAAUUCAAAAUGAAUCAAAACUUUCAACAACGGAUCUCUUGGUUCUGGCAUCGAUGAAGAACGCAGCGAAAUGCGAUAAGUAAUGUGAAUUGCAGAAUUCAGUGAAUCAUCGAAUCUUUGAACGCACAUUGCGCCCGCCAGUAUUCUGGCGGGCAUGCCUGUCCGAGCGUCAUUUCAACCCUCGAACCCCUCCGGGGGAUCGGCGUUGGGGAUCGGGACCCCUCACACGGGUGCCGGCCCCGAAAUACAGUGGCGGUCUCGCCGCAGCCUCUCCUGCGCAGUAGUUUGCACAACUCGCACCGGGAGCGCGGCGCGUCCACGUCCGUAAAACACCCAACUUUCUGAAAUGUUGACCUCGGAUCAGGUAGGAAUACCCGCUGAACUUAAGCAUAUCAAUAAGCGGAGGAAAAAAAACCAACCAAAAA